GAUGAAGAACGUAGCGAAAUGCGAUAAGUAAUGUGAAUUGCAGAAUUCAGUGAAUCAUCGAAUAUUUGAACGCACAUUGCGCCCGCCAGUAUUCUGGCGGGCAUGCCUGUUCGAGCGUCAUUUCAACCAUCAAGCCCCGGGCUUGUGUUGGGGACCUGCGGCUGCCGCAGGCCCUGAAAAGCAGUGGCGGGCUCGCUGUCACACCGAGCGUAGUAGCAUACAUCUCGCUCUGGGCGUGCUGCGGGUUCCGGCCGUUAAACCACCUUUUAACCCAAGGUUGACCUCGGAUCAGGUAGGAAGACCCGCUGAACUUAAGCAUAUCAAUAAGCGGAGGA
rnacentral:misc_RNA from 1 species